CCUACGGGAGGCAGCAGUAGGGAAUUUUUCACAAUGGGCGAAAGCCUGAUGGAGCAACGCCGCGUGCAGGAUGAAGGCCUUCGGGUUGUAAACUGCUUUUAUAAGCGAGAAAUAUGUUGGUAACUUAUGAAUAAGGAUCGGCUAACUACGUGCCAGCAGCCGCGGUCAUACGUAGGAUCCGAGCAUUAUCCGGAGUGACUGGGUGUAAAGAGUUGCGUAGGUGGCAUAAUAAGUAGCUAGUGAAAUCUGGUGGCUCAACCAUUCAGACUAUUAGCUAAACUGUUAAGCUCGAGACCGUUAGGGGUAACUGGAAUUUCUAGUGUAGGAGUGAAAUCCGUAGAUAUUAGAAGGAACACCAAUAGCGUAGGCAGGUUGCUGGGACGGUUCUGACACUAAGGCACGAAAGCGUAGGGAGCAAACGGGAUUAGAUACCCCAGUAGUC
rnacentral:rRNA from 1 species